rnacentral:rRNA from 1 species
AACGAACGCUGGCGGCAGGCUUAACACAUGCAAGUCGAACGCCCCGCAAGGGGAGUGGCAGACGGGUGAGUAACGCGUGGGAAUCUACCCAGAACUUCGGAACAACUGAGGGAAACUUCAGCUAAUACCGGAUACGCCCUACGGGGGAAAGAUUUAUCGGUUUUGGAUGAGCCCGCGUUGGAUUAGCUAGUUGGUGGGGUAAUGGCCUACCAAGGCGACGAUCCAUAGCUGGUCUGAGAGGAUGAUCAGCCACACUGGGGCUGAGACACGGCCCAGACUCCUACGGGAGGCAGCAGUGGGGAAUAUUGGACAAUGGGCGAAAGCCUGAUCCAGCCAUGCCGCGUGAGUGAUGAAGGCCUUAGGGUUGUAAAGCUCUUUCAGUAGGGAAGAUAAUGACGGUACCUACAGAAGAAGCCCCGGCUAACUUCGUGCCAGCCGCCGCAGUAAUAC